CCUACGGGGUGCAGCAGUGGGGAAUAUUGGACAAUGGGGGGAACCCUGAUCCAGCGACGCCGCGUGAGUGAAGAAGUAUUUCGGUAUGUAAAGCUCUAUCAGCAGGGAAGAAAGAAAUGACGGUACCUGACUAAGAAGCCCCGGCUAACUACGUGCCAGCAGCCGCGGUAAUACGUAGGGGGCAAGCGUUAUCCGGAUUUACUGGGUGUAAAGGGAGCGUAGACGGCGAUGCAAGUCUGAAGUGAAAGGCGGGGGCUCAACCCCGCUCCGCCGUUGAAACUGUGUCCCUUGAGUGCGCGAAGGGUAGGCGGAAUGCGUGGUGUAGCGGUGAAAUGCAUAGAUAUCACGCAGAACUCCGAUCGCGAAGGCAGCCUACCGGCGCGCAACUGACGCUCAUGCACGAAAGCGUGAGUAUCGAACAGGAUUAGAUACCCCAGUAGUC
rnacentral:rRNA from 1 species